GCUCGGUCCUCUGACUCAGCAAGCUUUAUUUUCAGAAUAAAAGCAAAAUAUCAUACAGCAUGAGAAACCCUCAAUGGCAGGGAAAACUUCUCCGAACUGGAAAUGCAAGUUUGUCUUUGCAAGUAGAAGGAUAGAAGACCUUGUACCACACUGAGAGGUGUUUUCCACCUAGCCUGCCUUGUGCAGGCCCAGCCAGGCAGCCACGGAGACCCAGUCAAACCCUGGAUUCCUCCUCUUCUCUCUGAUUCCCACAUACCUUACAGAAGGACCCAUCUAUCAAUUCAGUGCUCCUCAGGUUCCAUCAUGCCUGGAACAGCUGCCCCCACUCCCUGGAGCAGGAAGAAGAAGGUGAUUUGUUCUGAAAAACCUCAAGGUCAAAGGGUCUAUUAAGAGUCUAGGCCUUGAGGACCUCGGCUGUGAAGUGCCUAGGGGUCCAUCCUGUGUUUAAAGCCUGCAUCUCACCCUCAUAUCCAAAAUUCUUUCAUUGAAUAAGGGAGGUAGUAUAAGUGAGGUCUUAUGAAUAUAAU
rnacentral:lncRNA from 1 species